GGGGAUAUGGUGAAAUGGCAGCCACGCUGGUUUCAAGUCCCAGUGUCGAAAGACGUAUCGGUUCAAAUCCGAUUAUCCCUA
rnacentral:tRNA from 1 species